UUUUUAUUAAUUUAAAAACUCCUCGUAAACGUAAACACAUUUCCGUCUUCUCGUACUGAUUGCAUUCACCUCCGCAACACUAUUUCUCUCAUCCUCUUCGUUUCCGUCACCUACGUAGUCUACACGAUCAAGCUCGUCUCCACCUCACGCGCCUGCAACCACCUUCCCUUCGCCACUCACACCUUCUCCGUCAAUGCCUCCGCCUCCGCCUCCGCCCUCCUCCGCCGCCAGUCCCGCCAAACCAACCCCGAGGACCGCACCGCCCUCCGCCACGUCGUCUUCGGCAUCGCCGCCUCCGCCAAGCUCCGGAACUAGCGCAAGAACUACAUCAAGCUCUGGUACAGACCUAGGGAGAUGCGCGGCGCCGUCUGGCUCGACCAGAACAUGACGCCGAAGCCCGACGAGGACUCUCUCCCGCCGGUGAGAAUCUCCGGCGACACCGCCAGGUUCAAGUACACGAACCGGCAGGGGCACCGGUUGGUGAGAAUAUCCUUUCAUUACAUUGUCCUUUCUUUGCUUGUUUCAAUUUUGGUUUGCAUGAGGUAAUUGGAUGUGGAUACAUCUACAAUUAAGCCUAUUUGGAAAUGGAAACUGCUGUUUUGUUUUUUGGGGGGAAAAGGAGGGGAAUUAGGGUUUAAGUUUUUUAUAAGGGGAUUAGGAUGCAUGAAUUAUUCGAGUGAAUGUUAUCAAGGUUCGUAGUUAAAUGGAUCUGGUGUUUGUGUGAAAAGGGAAAAUGUUGCUGCUGAUGUUUAAAAUUUUUAUUCAUUCUGCUUCAGUGUUGUUUGAUCCUUAAUUCUUUCGCACGUACGUGAUCUUCAAUGGGCUGUUGCAGCUGAUCAUAUACACUAAGGAGAAAAAUGCCAUUCUGUUUACUUAUCCUCCUGUUGUAAGUUUCUUUUAAGUGUGCUGAGGCUCUUUACUCUAAUGCUAGAGUUUUUAUUUACGUAUGGAGAAUAUAUGCUGUGUUUCACUUGCAUAAUUGCAUUGUUUUGGAUGAUUGAUAGUUGAAGUUUAUUCUACCACAUUCCUUGGGUCAGUAUUCGGUAAAUUACAAAAUAUCAGUCCUAUGGUGUUGGAUUUGGAGAUUGUAGAAUAUUGAAACACAUAUAUAUAUGAUCUAUACAUAUUACUCACUACUUUGUGUAAUGUUUAACAUGAUCUAUUAGAAUAUGUGGUGAUGUUUUAUGACAGGUUUGUUUCAAUUAAUGAAGGUUGUAGAUUUAUUGGGUAUAUAGAAUUUGACAAUUUUUUCUUCAUCUUUAGUUGUAUAUCAAAAUUAGGAAAAAUUUUAGACAUUCUGUGGCUCCUUGUUCUGUGUACUGACUAAUUUUUUGUUUCAUCUAACCAUUUUUAACUCACUUUCUGAUAUAGAGACAACAUUUAAGAAAUGUAUGAUAUCUAUUUUGUGUUUGUGAAAGAGAGAGAGUUUUUGUGAGUGUGUGUGAGAGGGAGAGAGAGAGAGAGAGGAAUAUGCCAUUUUAUUAUUGUUUAAAUUGGCAAUCCUUUUUGUUCUAUCCUAAGAGAGCAGUAGCACCGAAAUUUUAGUCUGGUUAGUUUGUUAUAAUUGUGGCAUGCGUGAACUUAAAAUCCAUCCAAUAAUUUUAACAUAAUUCAUAGACAGUAAACAGACUCUAGUGUAUAAAACGGGCCAUACAUCAAGCACAAUUAUCAAUAGUGCAAUAUAACAGUGCGGUGCAGCCAUGGCAGCUGCAAUUGUGACCAAAAUUGCAUUUGUUGUUUUGGCUGGAUUGACUUUUGUGUAUUACGCUGCCUUUGGAUGGAGAAGAAAAAAGCCUAGUGACAGGUUCCAAUUGUCUACAUAAGGUAUGGCUUAGCCUGGAAAAGCACUUUCUGGAGUGAGUCAUGGGGGAUUCCUUGCAUCAUAUCAUUUAGAGUGGUUUUUAUAUUUGGAUGUGUUUUGGCCUAGUUGUUUUAUGUUGAAAGCAAUAGAGCAAGCUGGUCAUCAUCUGAGUAGAAUAAUUUGAUGCGAUCGAAUCAUUGGUUGGGUGCUAGUGCUACAACUUUGGCCUUUGCUUCUUCUGUAGCCGUUGUAUGUAUUAUUCCUUUGUUUGAUUGUGUAAUUCCACUCAUUAUGUAAUUAAACGUAUUAUUACGUGUAUGCAAAGAGUACUGGAUUCCUACAAUACUGAGGUAACGGGCGUAACGCAACCCUUGCCAGGGAGAAAUUGUACGAGCAGGGUAUUUUUCUUUUUCUUUUAUUGACCAUACAUGUUUUUGUACCUCAUUCUUUGUAUAAUAGUUUAGUGGGGCUUUCAUGUGUAUUACCGUUAUGAAGUUUUUAUUUUGCAUUUGAUGUUUA